rnacentral:lncRNA from 1 species
ACAUGCCCACGGUGGCACGGAGUCCUUCUGAAGCUGAGUGUGCUGAGCCACGUGGUGCUGCUGGCGCUGCUGGCGGUGCUCAGUGUGCAGGGUGAGUAAAAACCACUCGUAAACACAUCCAAAACCCAAGCGACCAUGAGGGAUUUUUUUAUUUUAUUUCUUUUUCGCCAAGGGGUGUUCAGGUUUUUAUCCUAGUGACCAUCUCCAUUUGGAUGGGGACAAUUUUACCCCACAAGAUGAAUCCAACAAGAGUAAAUCCCCUCUCAAAACAAACAAAGAAACACAAAAACACACAAAAAAAAUGCUUUUAAAGCAAGGGUGGAGGACACAAGAAACAUUUUUAUGCUGUUGCAAAAGUUGGGUAUAGUCAUGACCAGAAACGGUGCUUGCAAAAUAGCCUGGAGAACCCAACUCAGCCCUGCUCGGUUUUCACGACGUUGCCCUAAAACAGCCUCAGUCUCACCCCAAAAUUUUACCUCCAAGUUUUUCAGAAGAUGCCGACACCUCCCAACACUCUGCAAAACAAGAGCGAGGCUGGGGGAAGGAGCAGGACGGAGGUGUGCAUGAUUCCCUCCCUGCUGCACUACUUCUGCCGCUGGAAUGGCUCCACAGGUAACCCCUUCCCCAGGGGGGGCCCUGGGGUGGGAUGGGUGUCCCCGGGGGGCUGCAAGCCCAGCUCGGUGUCGAUGAGCAUGGCAAGGAAGAGCUCGUUUUGCUGAUCAUCUCCAUCUUCUGUGGGCCUCUGGGAGGAGGAGGCACCUCUCCACCUUCCCCGUGCUCACCCCACCGUGUGCUCCUUGUGGUGGAUGGGUGGGGAAAGCAGCCAGGAAAAAUUUGGGGGGGGAGAGAGCUCCCUCCCCAGUGCCUCUUGGCUGGUUUGAGCACGACAUCGAGCACUUUUUGGGGUGUCUCACGGCUCCGUCUCCUCUCCAGGCCACGGGGGCUGCAAGCUGUGCCCCCAGUCUUGGCAGCUUUUUGGGGACCAGUGCUACCAGGUUUCCAAAUCGAGUGGGACUUGGAUGGAAGGCAAAAAAGACUGCGAAAGUCGAGGGUCCCAUCUGGCCCUGUUCCGAAACACCACCGAUAUGGAGCACUUAAAUGAGGGGAUCCAGCAGGACAUCAAGGAGAAGCUAGCGGUGUGGAUUGGAUUAAAGGCGUCCAACAACAUAUGGAAAUGGGUGGACAACUCCUCCUUCGAUGCCACCAUGUGAGUACAGCUGCAACCCGUGGUGUGCGGAGCAGCUUUGCUCCACUUCUGCCCCAAUA